rnacentral:rRNA from 1 species
UACGUAGGCAGCAAGCGUUGUUCGGAGUUACUGGGCGUAAAGGGUGCGUAGGUGGCUCUAUAAGUAUGGUGUGAAAUCUCCCGGCUUAACUGGGAGGGUGCGCCGUAGACUGUGGGGCUAGAGUGUGGGAGAGGAAAGUGGAAUUCCUGGUGUAGCGGUGAAAUGCGUAGAUAUCAGGAGGAACACCGGUGGUGUAAACGGCUUUCUGGACCGAUAA